rnacentral:rRNA from 1 species
GACGAACGCUGGCGGCGUGCUUAACACAUGCAAGUCGAACGGAAAGGCCCUGCUUUUGUGGGGUGCUCGAGUGGCGAACGGGUGAGUAACACGUGAGUAACCUGCCCUUGACUUUGGGAUAACUUCAGGAAACUGGGGCUAAUACCGGAUAGGAGCUCCUGCUGCAUGGUGGGGGUUGGAAAGUUUCGGCGGUUGGGGAUGGACUCGCGGCUUAUCAGCUUGUUGGUGGGGUAGUGGCUUACCAAGGCUUUGACGGGUAGCCGGCCUGGGAGGGUGACCGGCCACAUUGGGACUGAGAUACGGCCCAGACUCCUACGGGAGGCAGCAGUGGGGAAUAUUGCACAAUGGGCGGAAGCCGGAUGCAGCAACGCCGCGUGCGGGAUGACGGCCUUCGGGGUGUAAACCGCUUUCGCCUGUGACGAAGCGUGAGUGACGGUAAUGGGUAAAGAAGCACCGGCUAACUACGUG